AUGUUUGCGGGAAGCCUGAAACAAGCAGCAGGCACGCAGUUAUUCCAAGAACAUCCUGUUACACAGCUCUACUACAACACAAUACACUGUUACACAAACUAGUCACAAGCAGAGGUGCUGUCCUGCGACCAGAAUUGGGCAAAACUACCCCUGGAUGAAGUUCUCCUUAUGUACCGCUUUUUCAUGCAAAAAGGUAUGCAUACAAAACACUGGUACAAGACAGCACCGA